ensembl:misc_RNA 7SK 7SK RNA
AGAUUUGAGGGCGAUCUGUCACCCCAUUAGAUCAGCAGGGUUGACUCAGCUGAUAUGGCUGGCUAAGUGUGGGUCCCUUUCCUCCCUCACCACUGCACGCAAGUUCCUUCCAAAAGUGCACCCUUAGUCAAAGACGUCUGUUUGCUCCAUCAAAGGUAUACAAGUAGUCGCUCUCCCCUGCUAUAACUUCCAAACAAGCUCUCAAAAUAAACUUUCCUUCUUUAAGUUGUGGAUGUCAGGUAGUGUAUCUCAAUGAGUAAAAUGACUAUGAUAAAGGACAU